GGGAAUGUGGCUUAGUGGUAGAGUGCUUGCCUAAUAUGCAUGAAGUCCUGGGUUCAGUUCCUCAGUACCA
rnacentral:tRNA from 1 species